rnacentral:lncRNA from 1 species
CCCCGUUUGAGCUCCACGUUCCAUUAGCAAGAAGCUUCUGAGACUCCAAGCCAAGGGAUUGUCUGGGGAGGUGCCCUGCUCUUGGUAGAAGUCCCUUGACAAGUAUUCUAACUGUCCCUUACACUGGACAGAAGCCACCAGAGCCUCAAUUGUGACACGGGUGGCGCUUUCUGCUACCCGGCCAGAGCCGGGACCCUGGGUCACGGAGCACUGGCUCCCACGUAUCCAUUGGCUGGCCGGGAGCUCAGGGUUCCCUGUCACCUGGGGGUUGGUGCCCAGCCGCCCUGAUGCCAGCUGCUGCUCACUAACAUUCACCCCCUCAGUAGCAUCUCCUUGCCUAGGUCAGGCUUAGCCACUUCUUAGGUCUCUCCUGCCAGGUUUCCUUUUCUGGUUUACAGCAACAUAGGAAAAAGCCCUGGAGAUGUCCGGGCUGAGCUCAGCAUUCUCAAUGGGCAGGUAGAACCGGGCCAUUGCCCUGGCUCACUGUCGAUGUGACCUCCCCACCCCCCAUGUGCUCUGGGUCACUAUGGAUGGACCUACAGGAGCCGCCCCUGAUGAGUUUUCCCUGGGAAGGAAGGGGCAUGACCUGGUUCUGGCUUUAAUCUGCUGUGUGGCCUUCAGCAAGCCACUCAGCUUCUCUGGGCUCCCAGCGGUUCCCUUUGGCUUUGCUUACUCUAGAAACCACCCCAGUUUGGUGGGCCUCUGUCCUCAACAACGGAUGAGCUCAUGUGGUAACUUACCAGGAACAUGCUAGGCCAGCCUGUCUGUCAUGCUGUCCCCUCACAGGUCACAUCUGAGCCUUAGCACCUCCCUCCAAGGGACCUGAGCAGGGGACGGGGAGGGGGUUGUCAAAUGCGUGCUUCAGUGUACGUGUUCAUGCCUCAGACAGCGGGUGACGCAUGACUGAUGGGGGUGUUCUCUAACGUGGUGUGAGGAGAACGAGGACUGGGGUGCUCUUGUGAACUGUGCAGAUGCUAUCUGUGGGAGGCCCUGGCCUCGCUGCCGGCAUCAUGUAUGGCAUCACGUACCGUGUUUUACAAACACACUCAGCAGCUGUCCCCAUGCAAUGGUACUUAGAGCCCCACACAGCCCAAAGAGCUUGUCCUUGCCUCCCAUACCUGUGAGCAGAGGGGACAGGCCAAGAAGGUGGGUGGCGUCUCUGCUCCCCAACCUUGGGUUGUUCCCAGCGCCUCUGCUGCCCACCCCCUUGGGUCCCAUACUCUCAGGGGAAAGGCCCACGGCCCUUGGUGUGCCCAGGGAGUGCUAUGCAGGGGCCGGAGGGAACCAGCCUACUGCUCUGGCCGCUGGCGUCACUGGGAAACUCUAGAAGGAGCUGCUGUAUGGUCAAGUGAUAAAACUUGGAACUCCAACUGCUGGCCCCAGUACUGGGUAAUCUCUAAGUGGGCUGCUGGGCAGGCAAGACCCUUCCUGGUUCUUUUGAGAACCCAGAAUGUUGAGGUAUGUGGGCCCACACAAGGUGGGAGCCAAGUCAGAGAGUCCCAGUCAAAUCUGUAUCAGGACAGUUUAGCCACCUCUGAAAUAAGCAAUAAGUAAGAGUUCCUGGAGUCUGAAGACCAGUCAAGAAAGAGCCUAGAAACAACCUUUCCCUUUUGGAGAGGUGUGACCCUGUCCCUAAUGCUGCAGAGGCAUCCUGGGAACCUAAAGAGAAUUUCUUGUAGACCCUCUGCCCUUGUGCAGGGUGGAACAAGAUAUACCCCAGCCCUUUGCAGUGGGCUGCCCUCUAGGACAGUCUGCAUCAUAUCUCGAGCCUAUCAGGAGAGGCCAGCAGCACCCAGCGGAGCCCUGGGCUGGGGACCACAGGUGACCUUCGUGACCCCUCCCUUCCGGAGCCUUAGCUUUGCAGUGCCGACUCUCCAUCUCACAGGAUGCUUGGACUGGCUCCACCCCCCACUGUGACAGGUCACCUGGCCCCAUCUAGGUGGCCUGGCCUUCCCUGGAGUCAGAAUCUGCUGAGCACAUCUUCAUCUGCAUUCAACAGCCACUCGCCAGUGUUUAAAGACAAAGUGACCUUUCAUUUUUCUUUCUUGAAACUUGAGAGGAAGUGAGAUACACACUACUGAUUUUUUUUUUUUUUUAAAGAAACAAACUAGACGCAUGGCUGCAGAGUGGCAGAGGUGUCUAUUUUCAUACUGUGGGGGAAAGUGCUGCUUUUGGGAGGGGCUGGAACGCCUGGUUUCUGCCCCGGGCCAGUCUUGUACAGGAGUUGGUGGUGAGCCCUGCAGCUGCCCUCUCCUGCCCUGGCUGUGUAGAGCUGGAGCCUGUGCCCUUCGGCGGUUUCUACCUUCUAUCGAGCCACUUCGAUUUGUGGAGAGAGAGAAAAAAAUAGAACUUUUGAUAGUGUGGUAAAAGCAUUGAUUUGAACUAUUUUAGUAAAAGGAGUAACAUAUAAGACUGUGACAGUGUCUACUUUGAACUAGAUAAUAAAGGCCUCUUUGUGAGCCUCGGAGCUCG